GUUGCGGCUCCCAGCAUGCCUUGUGGGCGGUGCUCCCCUUUGACCCUCUUUCCCUCACUAUACAUCCGGGCUCCAGCUCCUCGAGAGAGGAAGAUGGCGGCGGCAACGACGAGCGGACCGACUUCGGUGGUUCCCAACGAGUGGAUAAAAAACUGGGACAAAGUGGGCAAGCUCGAAUUUGUGCAGCUAUGCCGAGCCCUCUGUGAAAAUAAAACCCGUGAACAUUUGAUUUUUAGAGAUCUGCAGCAAGUUAUCUAUGAACUAUCAUAUCAUGUCAUAAGAGGAAAUCUAAAGCAUGAUCAAGCAUCAAAUGUUCUUAAUGAUAUAAUUGACUAUCGUGAGGAUAUGCCUUCCAUCCUAGCUGAUGUAUUCUGCAUCUUAGAUAUUGAGACAAGUUGUUUAGAAGAAAAAAGCAAGAGAGACCAUUUUACACAGCUGGUGAUAUCCUGUUUGUAUUUAGUUUCAGACACAAUCUUAAAGGAGCGUUUGGAUCCAGAAACAUUGGAAUCUUUAGGACUUAUUAAGCAGUCCCAACAAUUCAAUCAAAAAUCAGUUAAAAUCAAGACAAAACUUUUUUAUAAGCAGCAAAAAUUCAAUCUCUUAAGAGAAGAGAACGAAGGUUAUGCAAAACUGAUUGCAGAACUGGGACAGGAUUUGUCUGGAAGUAUGACUAGUGACUUAAUCUUAGAAAAUAUCAAAUCUUUAAUAGGAUGCUUUAAUCUGGACCCGAACAGAGUCCUGGAUGUCAUUUUAGAAGUUUACGAAUGCAGACCAGAAUAUGAUGAGUUUUUUGUACCUUUAAUAGAAUCCUAUAUGUGUAUGUGUGAGCCUCAAACGCUGUGUCAUAUUCUAGGAUUCAAGUUCAAGUUUUAUCAGGAACCAAAUGGAGAGACGCCAGCAUCUUUAUAUAGAGUAGCAGCAAUACUUCUGCAGUAUGAUCUUAUUGAUUUAGACGAUCUUUAUGUUCAUCUUCUUCCAGUGGAUAAUACCAUUCUUGAUGAGCACAAACAAGAAAUUGUGGAAGCCAAGCAAAUUGUUAGAAAACUUACCAUGGUUGUCUUGUCCUCUGAAAAGAUGGACGAGAGAGACAAAGAAAAGGAAAAAGAGGAGGAGAAAACAGAUAAGCCACCUGACAACCAGAAACUUGGCUUAUUGGAAGCUCUGUUAAAGAUUAGUGAUUGGCAACAUGCACAAAACAUUAUGGAUCAGAUGCCCCCAUUCUAUGCUUCUUCUCACAGGCCAAUAGCCAUUGCUCUUUGUCAGCUUAUUCAUGUAACUGUUGACCCCCUUUACCGAAGAGUUGGAGUACCUAAAGGUGCUAAAGGAUCAUCUAUUGCUCUGUCACAAAACCAGCGAGCGCCAAAACAGGCAGAGAGUUUUGAAGAUAUGAGAAAAGAAGUAUUCAAUAUGCUCUGUCAUCUUGGCCCUCACCUUUCUCAUGAUCCCAUUUUGUUUGCAAAAGUGGUACGCUUGGGGAAAGCUUUUAUGAAAGAGUUUCAGGUUGAUGGAAACAAACCAGAAGAAAAAGAGAGAAUGGAAACUUUGCUUAGUUGCUUGCUGACUAUUACUGACCAGGUGCUACUUCCUUCUCUUUCUUUGAUGGAUUGCAAUGCUUGUAUGUCUGAAGAACUAUGGGGAAUGUUUAAGUCGUUUCCUUAUCAAUAUAGGUAUCGUCUAUAUGGUCAGUGGAAGAAUGAAACUUAUAACAGUCACCCGCUUUUGGUAAAAGUUAAAGCUCAAACGAUAGACAGAGCCAAAUAUAUAAUGAAACGAUUGACAAAGGAAAACGUGAAGCCUUCUGGAAGACAAAUUGGAAAAUUGAGCCACAGCAAUCCAACCAUUUUGUUUGAUUACAUUUUAUCACAAAUACAAAAGUAUGAUAAUUUAAUAACACCAGUAGUUGAUUCAUUGAAAUACCUCACUUCAUUGAACUAUGACGUGUUGGCCUAUUGCAUCAUUGAAGCUUUGGCUAAUCCAGAGAAAGAAAGAAUGAAACAUGAUGAUACAACUAUCUCAAGCUGGCUUCAAAGCUUAGCUAGUUUUUGUGGUGCAGUUUUUCGUAAAUAUCCAAUUGAACUUGCUGGUCUUCUUCAGUACGUGGCAAAUCAAUUAAAAGCUGGAAAAAGCUUUGACCUGCUUAUUUUGAAAGAGGUAGUACAAAAAAUGGCAGGAAUUGAAAUUACUGAAGAAAUAACAAUGGAACAAUUAGAGGCCAUGACUGGUGGGGAACAACUUAAAGCUGAGGGUGGCUAUUUUGGACAGAUCAGAAACACUAAAAAAUCCUCUCAGAGGUUAAAGGAUGCAUUGUUGGACCAUGAUCUUGCCCUUCCUCUAUGCUUACUUAUGGCUCAGCAGAGAAAUGGUGUAAUCUUUCAGGAAGGAGGAGAGAAACACUUAAAGCUUGUGGGAAAAUUAUAUGACCAGUGUCAUGAUACCCUGGUACAGUUUGGUGGAUUUUUAGCAUCUAAUCUAAGCACAGAGGAUUAUAUAAAGAGAGUGCCUUCAAUUGAUGUGCUUUGCAAUGAGUUCCACACACCUCAUGAUGCAGCAUUUUUCCUUUCUAGGCCUAUGUAUGCACACCAUAUCUCAUCAAAGUAUGAUGAGCUUAAAAAAGCUGAGAAGGGAAGUAAGCAGCAACAUAAGGUUCAUAAAUACAUCACAUCGUGUGAGUUAGUGAUGGCUCCAGUCCAUGAGGCAGUGGUUUCUUUGCAUUUGCCAAAAGUGUGGGAUGACAUCAGCCCCCAAUUCUAUGCCACAUUUUGGUCAUUGACAAUGUAUGACCUUGCAGUUCCACGAAAUAGCUACGAAAGAGAAGUCAACAAACUGAAAAUCCAGAUGAAAGCAGUUGAUGAUAAUCAGGAAAUGCCUCCAAAUAAAAAGAAAAAGGAGAAGGAACGGUGUACUGCCCUUCAGGACAAACUUCUUGAAGAAGAGAAGAAACAGAUAGAACAUGUCCAGAGAGUUCUGCAGAGAUUAAAAUUGGAAAAAGACAACUGGCUUUUAGCAAAAUCUACAAAAAAUGAGACUAUCACAAAAUUCCUGCAACUCUGUAUAUUUCCUCGCUGCAUUUUUUCAGCAAUUGAUGCAGUUUACUGUGCUCGUUUUGUAGAAUUGGUACAUCAGCAGAAAACACUUAAUUUUUCCACACUUUUGUGUUAUGACCGAGUUUUCUCUGAUAUAAUUUACACAGUGGCAAGCUGUACUGAAAAUGAAGGUAGUCGCUAUGGAAGAUUUCUCUGUUGCAUGUUAGAAACUGUGACUAGGUGGCAUAGUGAUAGAACAAUAUAUGAAAAGGAAUGUGGUAACUAUCCAGGUUUCCUUACUAUUUUACGGGCAACUGGAUUUGACGGUGGAAACAAAGCUGAUCAGUUAGACUAUGAAAAUUUUCGACAUGUUGUACACAAGUGGCAUUAUAAACUAACAAAGGCAUCAGUGCAUUGCCUUGAAACGGGUGAAUAUACUCAUAUCAGGAACAUUCUCAUUGUACUGACCAAAAUACUUCCAUGGUAUCCUAAAGUUUUGAACCUGGGCCAGGCUUUGGAACGAAGGGUCCAUAAAAUCUGUCAAGAAGAGAAAGAGAAGAGACCUGACCUAUAUGCAUUGGCUAUGGGCUAUUCUGGGCAGUUGAAAAGUAGAAAGCCAUACAUGAUACCUGAAAAUGAAUUCCACCACAAAGAUCCUCCCCCAAGGAAUGCUGUUGCUGCCGCUGUACAAAAUGGGCCCGGUGGUGUUGGCCUGUCUACAUCACUCACAAUAAAUGCAGCUAAAUUGGAAGAAAGCACUACUGAGGAGACUGAUAAAGUAAAAGAGAAGUCUCAGGGUGCUGUGAAAAUUGCUAGUAAAGCUGCCAGUACAACACCUAAAGCGACUACAAGUAAUGGAAACAGUGCUUCUAAUAGCAAAGUUACUAAAGAAAGUGAAAAAGAGAAAAGUGGGAAAGAAAAAGAAAGAGAAAAAAAAGAAAAGACUCCAGCUGCCACUCCAGAGGCCAAGGCACUUGGUAAAGAUGGUAAAGAAAAACCAAAGGAAGAACGGGCAAAUAAAGAUGACAAAUCUAAAGAGAUCAAGGAAAAAACACCCAAGUCUGACAAGGAGAAGGAAAAAUUCAAGAAGGAUGAAAAAUCUUCUAAAGAUGAAAAAUUCAAGACAGUUGUUAUCAACACUGAAUCAAAGUCAAGUGUAGAAAAGGAUAGAGACAAGGAACCAUCCAGAGAGAGAGAUGUAGCGAAGGAAACGAAAUCCAAGGAAAAUGUUAAAGGAGGAGAAAAGAUACCAGUUGCUGGGUCCUUGAAGUCACCUGUUCCCCGAUCAGAAACAUCAGAGUCUGAACGGGAACAAAAACGCCGCAAACUUGAUAGCCACUCUUCUCCAUCACAUUCCUCAACAGUAAAGAUUUAUUCCCAGAAAAGGAGUAGCUGGUUUGUUUCAAGGUUACAACCAUACUUCCAAGUUUCUCGGGAUUCUGAGAACUAUUCCAGCUCACCUGUCAUCUCCAUUCAUUUUCUACAGGACAACCUCAGCGAGCUCAAGGAGUCUUCCACAAAGCACUACAUUAAUCACACUACUCCAGUACUAUCCAAGAGUAAGGAGAGAGAAAUGGAAAAGAAAGAUUUGGACAAGUUAAGGGAAAGAUCCAGAGAGAGAGAGAAGAAAGAGGACAAGGACAGGAAAGAUCGAAAAAGGGAGCAUUCAAACAAUGACCGUGAAGCACCCCAGGACUCCUCCACCAAGAGGCGUAAAGAGGAAAAUGGAACAACUGGUGCUUCAAAACAUAGUAAAAGUGAAAGUCCAUCAGAUUCUCCUCGUUCAAAUGAGAAGGACAAAAACAAAUCUAAAUCUUCAGGCAAAGAAAAAGGCAGCGAUGCCAUUAAAAUGGACAAAAUGGAGAAAAGCUCUUCUGGUAGUAAAAAGGACUCUCGACAUGAUAAGGAAAAAACAGAGAAAAAAGAGAAACGGGACAGUACAGGAGGAAAGGAGGAAAAGAAGCAUCAUAAGUCUUCAGACAAGCACAGAUAAUGAAGACUUUCAAUCAAGGGAUAGUUCCUACGACUUCUUGUGGAUUGUCACUCCUAACACAGGUCUAACAUUUAAUUUUUUUAUUUUUGUGAGCAUAAUUUUACCUCUCCUACUAGACCUUAAAUUCUUUAAGGGUAGGGGUAGGGGUAGGGGUAAGGGUAAGGGUAAGGGUUAAGGGUAGGGGUAGGGGUAGGGGUAGGGACAGGGACUAUAUCUUAACUCUUUAUAACCUUCCUCAACACUGAAUACAGAACCUUUACAUGGAGUAGAAGUGUAAUUAGAAGUAAAAGUUAAAUAUUUGUUAUUAAGCACUUCAGAAUUAAGUAGAUGAUUUAUUUGGGAAAUUGUUUUUUCAUCCUGUUGAGUUUUCUCUGGCACUGAUGCCAUCCUUUUAUUUCAUCUUUACUUAAGAGGAAUUGGCCUGUCCUAAGAGGUCUUUGGGAAAUUUGUCUUUUGUCUGUCACCAUGUAAAUGAGAAUAUAUUCUUUCUCUUCUUUCAAAGAGUAGAUAUAGAAAAACUCAUUUCUUUGUGACUUUGGACUACCAUCUACUUAUAGUCACCUCCCAAACUAAUUUCUCUAAUUUCUAGUCUUGUGUAUCUAUCCAGGGGAUUCAGUUACCUCUCAGAAUUAUCACAGAAUCUGAGAGUUGAAAGAGACCUCACUGGCCAACUAGUUCAAAACAUAAACAAAAGAAAAUAAUACCUCAUGUGGUCCUCCAGCCUCGGCUUGAAAAGGAAGGAAGGGGAACCUACCACCUCUGCAGGCAAUUUCGCUUUUGGACAGCUCUGCUUGUUAUGAAGUUUGUUCUAAUAACAGAUUUUAAUUUACUACUUUGUAACUUCAUCUAGUGCUCCUGAUUCUAACGAGUCUAAUACAUUCGCCAAAUAAUAGCUCUACAUAUAUUUGAAGACAGUUAACAUGUUUCCUUCUCCAGGCUAAAGAUCCUCGUCGUUUCAACUGAUUCUCAUGACAUAGACUCAAGAUCCAUCACCCAUCCUGGUUGCCCUCCCUUGGACACUAUUUUAUCAGUGUCUGUAGACCAUGGUACCCAGAACUGAACACAGUACUCUAGAUAAGGUGAAAUGGAAAGAUUGUCAUCUUUGACCAGAAAUGUCUUUUCCUAAGUAGAUGGCACAGAAAUUUGUGAACAAAGAGGACCCAUCUACAUCUCCUUAAAUUAUUCAGUUUUCUGCUUUAUUUUCCCUAUGCUGAAAAAUCUAAAAGUUGUUGAGUUGUGCAUUUCUGUAUUUUAACUUGUUGCUUAGGUUCUUACACAUUUAUUUUCAGUACGUGGCUGAAAGUGUUACUUAUUCCCUAUUUUUUUUUUUAGCACAAUGUGCUGCAAACAAACAGUUGCCAUGGAGCAAAUGAGGAGGUUACAUGUGUACUAGAAUUUCAGUUUAGAUUGUCUAAAUACUGCCUGGGUUUAGUCGUUCUGUCAAUUUUCAGUGCAUUCUUUUUAUUAUUGGAAACAAAAUAAACAGCUGUUUAACCGUUAGUUUUGAAGUUACCUCAUUGAAAACUCCGUUUUUUAAAAUUUAUUAUUAUUUGGCCUGGUUUUAAUAUCAGUGACUAAAAAACAAGUUGGUAGCACUGUUCCAUGCAGUCCUUAGGCAUUUUAUUAUGUUUAUUAUGUGUACAACAUUAAGACUUGUUUCAUUAGAAGGAAAAGUAGUAGUUAAGCUGUUAUUUGCCCCAUUCCCUUUAUCUUUGUCCAUAAUGUUUUUAGAUAAAUUGGGAAAAAAAUAAUUCCUCAGAAAACCAAAAUUAAUUAAGCCUCAUUCAGUUCUUCCACUACAUGAACUUUUUAAUCACUUAACUAGUCUGAAAAGUUUCAUAAUGGCAUUAAAUUUUUUUUUAAUCUACUGAAUUCUACCAGUGUAACCUUUUUUUCUAAAUAAACAAUAGUUUUUCUCAA